rfam:Physcomitrella patens mitochondrial DNA, complete genome.
GUGAGCCGUGUGAUAGGUAACUAUCUCGCACGGUUCGGGGAGCACUUUAUUAUUUUACUUGGGUGAACGGCCGCCGCAUUGCAGUACGCAAAAAAUUUCCUGCUUGAUUCUGCGAUUCAAGGCCCCAGUAAAAUAAAACUUUUGACUCUGU